rnacentral:miRNA from 4 species
UGACCGAUUUCUCCUGGUGUUC